UGAUGGAUAACAGGUCGGAGUGUCU
rnacentral:piRNA from 1 species